rnacentral:lncRNA from 1 species
UGUAAUACCCCGUUUCCUCGAGCUAAGUUUAGAAUAAUUUUGAACUUAGAUUUAAGAUGAUUCACGCCGGAAUGAGAAAAAGAAUUUAUUUUUAAUUCCAACAAAAAUGAUUUACAAAAACAUUUGUAAAUUUAGUUAUUAAAUUUAUAUGCAUUGCAUAUUUAUUUAAUUUAGCAUUCAAGUAUUUUCACGAGAUCAAUAUUUAUUUAGCGAACCCUGAAGUAUUUAUUACAGUCCCGAUAUUUUAUCCUGAGGGAUUUUAUUAGUUCAAUCAACACCGCAUCUCACACCAUACCCUAUGUUCCUAAUAGCCACCCUAUAUCAUGAUUAUUUUUUUUUCAUACAUGUCUUUAUGCAGACAAUCAAAUCUCCCAUAUCUUUAUCAAAUUUCUUUUGCUUUAGGCUGUCCACUUUCUUUUGCUUCCACUUUCAAAUUCCACUACACCUAACAUCACCACUGUGAAACCCAACUGCCAGCCAUAUAAUCAAACAUCAGAACAUGAACCCAUCCAUCCAUACAAUCUUUGAGUUCUCAAGAAAACAGCAACGCCGAUUUCAUCAAUAGAAGCAAUCAAAACCAGUAUCAUUCAUUCACAAAGGUUCUACCUUUUCUUUAUACAUCUUUCAUUUAUUCUUUACACAAUCCCAAACCAUAUCAGACUACAUACAUUUUUCAUGAAUUCUUUGCAGAUACACAACAAAUAGAAACAGACUCCAUUCCACACCUACAAGGUUAUUUCUAUGACUCGAGCACUUCCCAUAACACAUACACCGAUUCCAUUAUAUAUAAAUUUGCAUAUGACAACAAGACCUAAACUCAAUGAUGUUUAUUUAUCGUCUGUGCAUAUACAUACAUACAUGAAGCAUGUUUUCUAAAUAGAAAAGAAGUAGAAAUUGAAGCUCUGUUUUUAUUCUUUGUUUUCGAACUGCCGUGUCGAGUCGGGGAGAGAGCUUGAGGGCUAGGGAUCGGCGGCGGCGGUCUUCCAGCCGUGCAGUCGCCGGAAGUCAGAGGGUAGGGAGGUGGAGACUGAAGGUGGGGAUUAGAGGCGGUCGGCGAUGGCUGGUUGCUGUCGUCCGUCCGACACAGAGUGAGAGGAGAAAAGAUGAGAAAAAGAAAAAAAGGGAAGGAGAAUAGGGAAUUAGGGCUUACCUUAAGCUGCCGGAUGACGGAAGCGGCGCCGGUCGUGGUGGCUCCAGCCUUCGGCUGGAGAAGAUGAACCAGGCGCCGCGGCGACGGUGGCUCGGCUGCUGUUGCCGGAAGGCCGAGAGAGAGAUCGCGAGGAAGGUCAACGGCGGCAGUCCACUUCUUCGGCUGUCGUCGGGCGAUCUGUGAACGGACGGAGAGAGAAAAGAGGUAGGCGGAUGCCGGUGGCGUGGAGCUACUGGUAAUCGUCGGUCAAGCUUGAGCAUGAGAGAGACGGUGGUGGCGGUUUUGGCCGCUGCUCGCCGGGAGAGAAGAGAGGUGAGGGAGACAGUCGAGAGAAAGAUUUGAGGGAGGAGAAUAGAG